rnacentral:rRNA from 1 species
AUUGAACUCUGGCGGCAGGCCUAACACAUGCAAGUCGAGCGAGCGGCGGACGGGUGAGUAAUGUAUGGGGACUGCCCGAUAGAGGGGGAUAACUACUGGAAACGGUAGCUAAUACCGCAUACUAUCGGAUAACCCAUAUGGGAUUAGCUAGUAGGUGAGGUAACGGCUCACCAAGGCCACGAUGCAUAGCCGACCGGAGAGGGUGAUCGGCCACACUGGGACUGAGACACGGCCCAGACUCCUACGGAGGCAGCAGUGGGGAAUAUUGAACAAUGGGCGCAAGCCGGAUGCAGCCAUGCCGCGUGUAUGAAGAAGGCCUUAGGGUUGUAAAGUACUUUCAGCGGGGAGGCGUUACCCGCAGAAGAAGCACCGGCUAACUCCGUGCCAGCAGCCGCGGUAAUAC